GCGGUUAUUUCCCGGAUUAUUUGGGCUAAGGUCGGCUAGCGUUCGUCAAGUCGAUUGAAUGCCCGCUCAUCGGGAGGUCAUCGAACUGGCGAACUUGAGUGCAGAAGAGGAGAGGUGAUUCACGUGUAGCCGUGAAAUGCGUAGAGAUGUGCAGAACAUCAGUGGCGAAGGCGACUAUCUGGUCUGUAUCUGACGACUGAGGAUCGAAAGCGUGGGGAGCGAACAGGAUUAGAUACCCUGGUAGUCCACGCCGUAAACGAUGAGUGCUAAGUGUUAGGGGGUUUCGCGCUCUUUAGUGCGGCAGCUAACGCAUUAAGCACUCCGCUUGGGGAGUACGGUCGCAAGAUCGAAAUUCAAAGGAAUUGACGGGGGCCGCCACAAGCGGUGGAGCAUGUGGUUUAAUUCGAAGCAACGGGAAGAACUUUACCGGGUCUUGCCUUCCUAUGACAACCUUAGAGAUAGGGCUUUCCCUUCGGGGCCAGAGUGACAGGUGGUCCAUGGUUGUCUUCAGCUCGUGUCGUGAGAUGUUGGGUUAAUUCCCGCAACGAGCGCAACCCUUGAUUUUAGUUGCCAGCAUUUAGUUGGGCACUUUAAGGAGACUGCCGGUGACAAACCGGAGGAAGGUGGGGAUGACGUCAAAUUAUUCUGCACCUUUUGGCCUGGGGUUCCCACGUGGUACAAAGGACAGAUCAAAGGGGUGGGUGACCGCAAGGGUUGGCCAAUCCCCCAAAUCUCUUUUCAGGUCGGAUCGCAGUUUGGAAAUUGAAUGCGUGAAGCUGGGAUCGCUAGUAAUUCUGGAUCAGCAUGCCGCGGUGAAUACGUUGCCGGGCCUUGUACACCCCGCCCGUCCCACCACGAGAGUUUGGAACACCCGAAGUUGGAGAGGUAACCUUUAUGGAGCCAGCCUC
rnacentral:rRNA from 1 species